AGUUUGAUCAUGGCUCAGAUUGAACGCUGGCGGCAUGCCUUACACAUGCAAGGUCGAACGGCAGCACGGGAGCUUGCUCCUGGUGGCGAGUGGCGAACGGGUGAGUAAUACAUCGGAACGUACCCUGAAGUGGGGGAUAACGUAGCGAAAGUUACGCUAAUACCGCAUAUUCUGUGAGCAGGAAAGAGGGGGGAUCGCAAGACCUCUUGCUUUAGGAGCGGCCGAUGUCGGAUUAGCUAGUUGGUGAGGUAAGGGCUCACCAAGGCGACGAUCCGUAGCGGGGUCUGAGAGGAUGAUCCGCCACACUGGGACUGAGACACGGCCCAGACUCCUACGGGAGGCAGCAGUGGGGAAUUUUGGACAAUGGGCGCAAGCCUGAUCCAGCCAUGCCGCGUGAGUGAAGAAGGCCUUCGGGUUGUAAAGCUCUUUCGGUGGGGAAGAAAUUGCUUCGGUUAAUACCUGGAGUAGAUGACGGUACCCGCAUAAGAAGCACCGGCUAACUACGUG
rnacentral:rRNA from 1 species